UAGCCAAGGAUGACUUGCC
rnacentral:siRNA from 1 species